ensembl:snRNA U6 U6 spliceosomal RNA
UUAAUUUCAGCAGCACAUAUACUAAAAUUAGAACAAUAUAGAGGAUUAGCAUGGCCUCCGCACAAGAAUGACAUGCAAAUUCAUGAAUCAUUCCAUAUUUUA